rnacentral:rRNA from 1 species
UACAGAGGGUGCAAGCGUUGUUCGGAAUUAUUGGGCGCAAAGCGCGUGUAGGCGGCUUUGCAAGUCGGGUGUGAAAGCCCUCAGCUCAACUGAGGAAGUGCGCCCGAAACUGCAGAGCUUGAGUACCGGAGAGGGUGGCGGAAUUCCCCAAGUAGAGGUGAAAUUCGUAGAUAUGGGGAGGAACACCGGUGGCGAAGGCGGCCACCUGGACGGUCACUGACGCUGAGACGCGAAAGCGUGGGGAGCAAACAGG